AAUCAACGCUGGCGGCGUGCCUCAGACAUGCAAGUCGAACGAGAAAGUCCCCUUCGGGGGAUAAGUAAAGUGGCGCACGGGUGAGUAACACGUAGGUAAUCUACCUCCGGGUGGGGAAUAACCCAGGGAAACUUGGGCUAACACCGCAUAAUGCAGCGGCACCACAUGGUGACAGUUGUUAAAGCGGGGGAUUUUCGAACCUCGCGCCUGAAGAGGAGCCUGCGGCGGAUUAGCUAGNGGUGAGGUAACGGCUCACCAAGGUCACGAUCCGUAGCCGGCCUGAGAGGGCGGUCGGCCACACUGACACUGACAUACGGGUCAGACUCCUACGGGAGGCAGCAGUCGGGAAUUUUGGGCAAUGGGCGAAAGCCUGACCCAGCAACGCCGCGUGAAGGAUGAAAUCCCUCGGGAUGUAAACUUCGCAAGAAUGGGAAGAAUUAGUAGGGACAAUACCCCUAUGAUGACGGUACCAUUUGUAAGCUCCGGCUAACUCCGUGCCAGCCGCCGCGGUAAU
rnacentral:rRNA from 1 species